rnacentral:rRNA from 1 species
UACGAAGGGGGCUAGCGUUGCUCGGAAUCACUGGGCGUAAAGGGUGCGUAGGCGGGUUUUAAGUCAGAGGUGAAAUCCUGGAGCUCAACUCCAGAACUGCCUUUGAUACUGAGAAUCUUGAGUACGGGAGAGGUGAGUGGAACUGCGAGUGUAGAGGUGAAAUUCGUAGAUAUUCGCAAGAACACCAGUGGCGAAGGCGGCUCACUGGCCCGUAACUGACGCUGAGGCACGAAAGCGUGGGGAGCAAACAGG